rnacentral:rRNA from 1 species
GCAUAUCAAUAAGCGGAGGAAAAGAACCAACAGGGAUUGCCUCAGUAACGGCGAGUGAAGCGGCAAGAGCUCAAAUUUGAAAGCUGGCCCCCUCGGGGUCCGCAUUGUAAUUUGCAGAGGAUGCUUCGGGAGUGGCCCCCAUCUAAGUGCUCUGGAACGGGCCGUCAUAGAGGGUGAGAAUCCCGUAUGGGAUGGGGUGUCCGCGACCAUGUGAAGCUCCUUCGACGAGUCGAGUUGUUUGGGAAUGCAGCUCUAAAUGGGUGGUAAAUUUCAUCUAAAGCUAAAUAUUGGCCGGAGACCGAUAGCGCACAAGUAGAGUGAUCGAAAGAUGAAAAGCACUUUGAAAAGAGAGUUAAAAAGCACGUGAAAUUGUUGAAAGGGAAGCGCUUGCGACCAGACUCGCCUACGGGGUUCAGCCGGUAUUCGUACCGGUGUACUUCCCCGUGGGCGGGCCAGCGUCGGUUUGGGCGGCCGGUCAAAGGCCCUCGGAAUGUAACGCCUCUCGGGGCGUCUUAUAGCCGAGGGUGCCAUGCGGCCAGCCCGGACCGAGGAACGCGCUUCGGCACGGACGCUGGCAUAAUGGUCGUAAGCGACCCGUCUUGAAACACGGACCAAGGAGUCUAACAUCUACGCGAGUGUUCGGGUGUCAAACCCGUGCGCGCAGUGAAAGCGAACGGAGGUGGGAACCCUCACGGGUGCACCAUCGACCGAUCCUGAUGUCUUCGGAUGGAUUUGAGUAAGAGCGUAGCUGUUGGGACCCGAAAGAUGGUGAACUAUGCCUGAAUAGGGCGAAGCCAGAGGAAACUCUGGUGGAGGCUCGCAGCGGUUCUGACGUGCAAAUCGAUCGUCAAAUUUGGGUAUAGGGGCGAAAGACUAAUCGAACCAUCUAGUAGCUGGUUCCUGCCGAA